rnacentral:lncRNA from 1 species
UAUGUUAGUAGUAAUUGAAUGAAAUUGGACCCUUUUCAAUGCUGAUGAGAUCUUGCAGGUUCAUUCACAGGUUCAAGAGAUCUUGCAGUUUGAGAGAGAGAGAGAGAGAGAGAGAGAGAGAGAGAGAGAGAGAGAGAGGAGGGAGAAGAUAAGGAUGGGCAGAAAGGGGAGGCAGUGCGGUAGUAUUGGGUUGGGUUGGGAGGUGGAUUCUUUCGUCUUCUACGUUCUAAUAGGAGUAUCACAAGCUGAAGUGGUAGUACAAUACUUUUUAUAGUUUCUCCCCACCGUUAGUCAAACGAUUAAUAAAACUACUAAAUUUUGACGUGGCAAAUGUAGGCCUCAAUUUUAUGCUGACAGGGAGCCUACACACAAGCUAUAAAUUAACCCUCAGCUCCAAUGACCCAUCCCCUCUGGGAUGAGCUGC